AUGCUCACUUUGACAGCACAUACAUUAAUUGGAAUGAUACAGAGAAGAUUAACAGAGCCCCUGGGCAAAGCUGACAUGUAAAUUCAAUAAUGAUCCCAUAUUUGU
rnacentral:snRNA from 1 species